GUUACCGUUUCAGCAUUCAACAUUUUUGGGAGCACUGCAGCAAGUACUAAUAAUAAGAAUUAGCCUUGACAAAAUAAUUUUGCCAGUGCGCGAUCAGAAAAUUAAGUUAAUUUAAAGUGAAAGAAAACUAUUUGCACUAUGUAGACGAGACGCCACUAAAAAGCACCCGAUUCCCGGCGGUGAUCGUGUAUGUUCGGAGAAAAAUUCGGUCGUUUGACGUGAAUGACAAGAAUAACGACACGAAUGUUCCCGCGUUUGUUAGUUGUUUACUUUCGUAAAAAAGCUCCAACUAAUUUGAUCAAUUAUUGCGAUUAUACUGAACUUGUUUCUUUGAGAAAUAUUGACCAUAUUGUUGCUUAUAGUGUUUUAAAAUAAUAUCUGAAAAGCUGUAUUAAUUCCAAUUCAGCGAUUUUAGCUGUAAAGAUGGACGGCCCUACUCAAAACUAUCAGAAUCAGGACCAAACUAUCAACAAAAAUUUGUGCCACUUAUGCAGUAAAAUGUUUUCUUCCAUUUCAGCUAAGAACAAACAUAUUAUACUUAUUUAUAAGCAGCAGCUACGAAAUAACCCAAAGUCACAUAUUUCUUGUCCCUUAUGCAAAGAGACUAAGUAUUCUUGUGAGACUUAUCAAAGACUUGAAUCUCAUUUACAGGUUAAGACGGUUAAGUCAUGAUAUCAAAAUAGAGUCCUCAACUUUCGAUUUUUCCAGUGAAGAAAGAUUUGAGGAAUGGUUAAGAGAGCAUAAAAUAUAUGCACAAACUAUGCACUUGUUCACACAAGGAAAAUUGAAGACAAGAUUGAAAAAGUAUAUUGUUUCAAUCGAAGCGAUUUUAGAGGUAAUUUGUAGCAAUUUCAAUUGUUCAUUAUGGUGUGUGAGCAAAGGAAGGGAAGCGAUUCUGUUUUAGGUGAACUCCUUGGGGAAUGUUCUUUCAAUAAUAUUGAAGCUAGCCAUAGUCUAGAAAUUGAAACAUUUGUUAAUGAGAAGACGACUGAAAAUCAACAAGUAGCAGUACAACUAUUGAACAAGCAAUCAACAAGAAAAGUUGAAAGUGUAUCAAACUUUUUAAGAUCUUUAAAUGAUGAAACUUAUGAUAAGUGCAUGAGACAACUGACAUCAAUGAUGGAACAGAUAAAUAAGACAAAUACAAGUAAACGAAAAAUGGACAAACAAGUUUAUUUUUCAUCAAAAAAGAAGAAGGAGCAGUAAAUAAAAAUAAUAAAUUGUAUAUUUUUUUCUAUUUAUCAGUAUUUUCUUUAUAUAAUAGUAGGUAUAUUUUUAUAGGUUUAAGUAUAUAUGUAUGUAUAUGUGUAUUAUAAUUUUUUAUGUAAGUUUUAGGCAAAUAUUUAAAAAAACAUUACCUAUCUCAUAAAUUUCUUGCAGUUUCUUCUUAUGAGUAUUAAUCGAAACUGUGAAUUGUAAAUUAGUAUUUUAGCACAAAAUAAUUAAGUUUAUUUUCAAAUCAGUCAUAUACAUUAUACAUGUCUUUGCAGCAUUUAUAAAAUAAAACUUUUAAUAUAU